UAUAGGGAUUGGAGCCUUGGC
rnacentral:miRNA from 1 species